rnacentral:lncRNA from 1 species
UAGGCUCUCCUAAAGGGACCCUAAAAACGGGAGGGAAGUCAACUCUUCACAAGGGUAGAUAAUGGCAGGACAAAGGGAAAUGGUUUUAAGUUGAAGGAGAGAAGAUUUAAGUUGGAUAUCAGGGGGAAGUUUUUUACCAAGAGAGUGGUGAGGUGCUGGAACAGGCUGCCCAGAGAGGCUGUGGAUGCCCCAUCUCUGGAGGUGUUCAAGGCCAGGUUGGAAGGGGCCCUGGGCAGCCUGGUAUUAGAUGUGGAGAUUGGUGGCCCUGCUUGUGGCAGGGGGGAUGGAUCUUGAUGAUCCGUGAGGUCCCUUCCAACCCAAGCCAUUCUAUGAUUCUACAAUUCUACGAUUCUAUGAUUCUGUGAAGGGUUUUGUUUGUUUGCUCAUUUGUUUUAGUUUAUAGUCACACAGUCCUCAUUAACUCACUCCUGCCGCCCUUUCCAGCAGCACCCAGGAAGAGCUCACAGCAGUUUGGCCAAACUGAUAAAGGAGACGAAUCAUUCUGGAGACACCUGCUGCUAAAAUGAACUCAGAGGUGACAUGAGUGUCCUGAGAGAUGGUACAGCAGAGAACCCUUCUGUUCAUUCCAUGGGCCUGCAUCUGAGCGAGACUCCCCGGAGCUGUUUCGCUGAAGAAUUUGGGCCUUCUGGCGAAAUGCAUCCCAGCUGCCCUGAGCUGCCUGUUACUCAGGGAUCUAUUACCGUGGCUAUUUGUGGAAAUUCUGCAUUUUGAUAUUUGUGCCAUCACGUCGUCAGCAACAGAAAUUUGACUUGGGGGCAUACAGAUUGAGACUCUUGCUUCCUUCCCUUUUUCACCCGAAAGCAAAUGUUGUGUUUGUUUUUUGCCAGUGCUCCUGGCAAGAACUGCUUGGUAGAGUGUCAAAUUCAUUGAGCAUCCUGUUCCAUCACACAGGUCCAUUGGAUAAUACAGAUCUCCUCUGACACAGCAAACAGGUCUUGCUCAAAUCACUCCCCAUUUUUUAAAGUGGAGUGGUGAGGAAGAAGCUUGUGUUUGUUCUGGUACUGAGAAGCAGAAUAAUUACGGACAAAGUAUUUGCUAAAUUGAUUUACAUGCAGCCCAAAGCAGAGGGCAUCUCAAUGUGGUUGUCUAUAUGGAAAUCUGGCAUCAGUUGGCAGCUCAGUACCAGCACAUCGCUUUCUUAUUGUACCACUUCAAAAGAUCUGGGGGAGAAAAUACAACAAAGAAAAGCUCCUGGGCUGAGAUGAGGGCAGGGAAAUUUCCAUCACAGCAAUUUCUGUCACAGGGAAAACAGGCUCAGUGUAAGGGAGAUUAAUGUAAAUUAUUGCAUAUUGGUAACAGAUCAG